AACCAUCCGCCACUCGGUGACCAUGGAGCGGUGAGCAUGUGGCGUUCAGAGCUUUGUUGAUGUCGCUUGGCUGUUGCCACUCCUCUUGUCCUUGAAGCCUUGGUCAUCUAUAAUUUCCUGAGCCUGUGCUAUGAGUACCUAGGAGGAGAAAGUUCCAUCAUGUCGGAGAUCAGAGGAAAACCCAUUGAGUCCAGCUGUGUGUAUGGCACCUGCUGCCUCUGGGGAAAGACUUAUUCCAUCGGAUUUCUGAGGUUCUGCAAACAGGCCACCCUGCAGUUCUGUGUGGUGAAGCCACUCAUGGCGGUCAGCACUGUGGUGCUCCAGGCCUUCGGCAAGUACCGGGAUGGGGACUUUGACGUCACCAGUGGCUACCUCUACGUGACCAUCAUCUACAACAUCUCCGUCAGCCUGGCCCUCUACGCCCUCUUCC
rnacentral:sRNA from 1 species